rnacentral:lncRNA from 1 species
GGAGGGGGUGGUGCAGGUGGAGGAGGUGGAUUUGGCGGCGGUGGUGGGGUUGGAGGUGGUGUAGGUGGUGGAGGAGGGUUUGGAGCUGGUGGAGGAGGUGGAAUAGGAGGAGGAGUUGGCGGUGGUGGAGGGGGUGGAUUUGGGGGUGGCGGUGGUGCUGGAUUUGGUGGUGGAAUUGGUGGGGGCCACUAGAUUGAAUAUGGUAACCACGAGUCAUUCAAAUUGUUUUACUUUCCAUAUGUUUCUGUUAAAACGGCAGUUAAUUAAUGCGUAUAAUAUUAUUUCGGUUUAAGUUAUAGUGGUUGCUACUUGCUACUCUUCUAUCAGAUGAUGCUAUGCUAUAUAUAUAGGUCUUCUUGUUAGAAUUAAUUAUGCAUGGGAAACAAAGCUUUGUAGCCUGUAAUGUCUGCAUGUCUCUAUUAAUUUUUGGCAAUAAUAUAAUAUUGUUUUUAGUGGGGUGCAAGUGUAAGUUUGUACAAGGUGUAGCAUGCUAGCUCUUCUGCUUUUUUCACUUUUUCUUUUAGACAAUUUACAUUUCCAAAUUUGAGAUGAUUACACAACUGGUUAAAUGAAAGAAAUUAUUAAUGAAUUUACC